rnacentral:ribozyme from 1 species
UGCCUUGGGAGGUUGACACCUUGUCAUGGUGAGGGAGCUCAGUAGUUCUCUGUAUUACAAAAUCUGUGCUGAACGAAACUAAGUAAAA